rnacentral:sRNA from 1 species
GCCGCAGCACCCUGGGCCACGCCGAUGACUACUGCAAACUGUGGCGCCCACGACGAGCUCGACUUCAAACUCGUCUUUGGCGAGGACGGGGCGCCGGCACCGCCGCCCCCGGGCUCGCGGCCUGCAGAUCUUGAGCCAGAUGAUUGUGCAUCCAUUUACAUCUUUAAUAUAGAUCCACCUCCAUCUACUUUAAACACACCACUUUGCUUACCACAUCAUGGAUUACCGUCUCACUCUUCUGUUCUGUCACCAUCGUUUCAGCUCCAAAGUCACAAAAACUAUGAAGGAACUUGUGAGAUUCCUGAAUCUAAAUAUAGCCCAUUAGGUGGUCCCAAACCCUUUGAGUGCCCAAGUAUUCAAAUUACAUCUAUCUCUCCUAACUGUCAUCAAGAAAUAGAUGCACAUGAAGAUGACCUACAGAUAAAUGACCCAGAACGGGAAUUUUUGGAAAGGCCUUCUAGAGAUCAUCUCUAUCUUCCUCUUGAGCCAUCCUACCGGGAGUCUUCUCUUAGUCCUAGUCCUGCCAGCAGCAUCUCUUCUAGGAGCUGGUUCUCUGAUGCAUCUUCUUGUGAAUCACUUUCACAUAUUUAUGAUGAUGUGGACUCAGAGUUGAAUGAAGCUGCAGCCCGAUUUACCCUUGGAUCCCCUCUGACUUCUCCUGGUGGCUCUCCAGGGGGCUGCCCUGGAGAAGAAACUUGGCAUCAACAGUAUGGACUUGGACACUCAUUAUCACCCAGGCAAUCUCCUUGCCACUCUCCUAGAUCCAGUGUCACUGAUGAGAAUUGGCUGAGCCCCAGGCCAGCCUCAGGACCCUCAUCAAGGCCCACAUCCCCCUGUGGGAAACGGAGGCACUCCAGUGCUGAAGUUUGUUAUGCUGGGUCCCUUUCACCCCAUCACUCACCUGUUCCUUCUCCUGGUCACUCCCCCAGGGGAAGUGUGACAGAAGAUACCUGGCUCAAUGCUUCUGUCCAUGGUGGGUCAGGCCUUGGCCCUGCAGUUUUUCCAUUUCAGUACUGUGUAGAGACUGACAUCCCUCUCAAAACAAGGAAAACUUCUGAAGAUCAAGCUGCCAUACUACCAGGAAAAUUAGAGCUGUGUUCAGAUGACCAAGGGAGUUUAUCACCAUCCCGGGAGACUUCAAUAGAUGAUGGCCUUGGAUCUCAGUAUCCUUUAAAGAAAGAUUCAUGUGGUGAUCAGUUUCUUUCAGUUCCUUCACCCUUUACCUGGAGCAAACCAAAGCCUGGCCACACCCCUAUAUUUCGCACAUCUUCAUUACCUCCGCUAGACUGGCCUUUACCAGCUCAUUUUGGACAAUGUGAACUGAAAAUAGAAGUGCAGCCUAAAGCUCAUCAUCGAGCCCAUUAUGAAACUGAAGGUAGCCGAGGGGCAGUAAAAGCAUCUACUGGGGGACAUCCUGUUGUGAAGCUCCUGGGCUAUAACGAAAAGCCGAUAAAUCUACAAAUGUUUAUUGGGACAGCAGAUGAUCGAUAUUUACGACCUCAUGCAUUUUACCAGGUGCAUCGAAUCACUGGGAAGACAGUCGCUACUGCAAGCCAAGAGAUAAUAAUUGCCAGUACAAAAGUUCUGGAAAUUCCACUUCUUCCUGAAAACAAUAUGUCAGCCAGUAUUGAUUGUGCAGGUAUUUUGAAACUCCGCAAUUCAGAUAUAGAACUUCGAAAAGGAGAAACUGAUAUUGGCAGAAAGAAUACUAGAGUACGACUUGUGUUUCGUGUACACAUCCCACAGCCCAGUGGAAAAGUCCUUUCUCUGCAGAUAGCCUCUAUACCCGUUGAGUGCUCCCAGCGGUCUGCUCAAGAACUUCCUCAUAUUGAGAAGUACAGUAUCAACAGUUGUUCUGUAAAUGGAGGUCAUGAAAUGAUUGUGACUGGAUCUAAUUUUCUUCCAGAAUCCAAAAUCAUUUUUCUUGAAAAAGGACAAGAUGGACGACCUCAGUGGGAGGUAGAAGGGAAGAUAAUCAGGGAAAAAUGUCAAGGGGCUCACAUUGUCCUUGAAGUUCCUCCAUAUCAUAACCCAGCAGUUACAGCUGCAGUGCAGGUGCACUUUUAUCUUUGCAAUGGCAAGAGGAAAAAAAGCCAGUCUCAACGUUUUACUUAUACACCAGUUUUGAUGAAGCAAGAACACGGAGAAGAGAUUGAUUUGUCUUCAGUUCCAUCUUUGCCUGUGCCUCAUCCUGCUCAGACCCAGAGGCCUUCCUCUGAUUCAGGGUGUUCACAUGACAGUGUACUAUCAGGACAGAGAAGUUUGGUUUGUUCCAUCCCACAAACAUAUGCAUCCAUGGUGACCUCAUCCCAUCUGCCACAGUUGCAGUGUGGAGAUGAGAGUGUUAGUAAAGAACGGCAUAUGAUUCCUUCUCCAGUUGUACACCAUCCUUUUCAAGUCACACCAACACCUCCUUUGGGGUCUUCCUAUCAGCCUAUGCAAACUAACGUUGUGUACAAUGGACCAACUUGUCUUCCUAUUAAUGCUGCCUCUAGUCAAGAAUUUGAUUCAGUUUUGUUUCAGCAGGAUGCAACUCUUCCUAGUUUAGUGAAUCUUGGCUGUCAACCAUUGUCAUCCAUACCAUUUCAUUCUUCAAAUUCAGGCUCAACAGGACAUCUCUUAGCCCAUACACCUCAUUCUGUACAUACCCUGCCUCAUCUGCAAUCAAUGGGAUAUCAUUGUUCAAAUACAGGACAAAGAUCUCUUUCUUCUCCAGUGGCUGACCAGAUUACAGGUCAGCCUUCUUCUCAGUUACAACCUAUUACAUAUGGUCCUUCACAUUCAGGGUCUGCUACAACAGCUUCUCCAGCAGCUUCUCAUCCCUUGGCUAGUUCACCGCUUUCUGGGCCACCAUCUCCUCAGCUUCAGCCUAUGCCUUACCAAUCUCCUAGCUCAGGAACUGCCUCAUCACCGUCUCCAGCCACCAGAAUGCAUUCUGGACAGCACUCAACUCAAGCACAAAGUACAGGCCAGGGGGGUCUUUCUGCACCGUCAUCCUUAAUAUGUCACAGUUUGUGUGAUCCAGCUUCAUUUCCACCUGAUGGGGCAACUGUGAGCAUUAAACCUGAACCAGAAGAUCGGGAGCCUAACUUUGCAACCAUUGGUCUGCAGGACAUCACUUUAGAUGAUGGUAAGUUCAUCUGUGAUAUGUUCUUGAAGUAGUGAAGAUUCAGGAACUUUAUUCUCCCAAGUGUCAUGAAAAAGUUUCUAUGGAUUGCUUAUUGGCAUAUGGUUGGGCUUUUAAAUAAGUUGUUAUUAGAAAUAUAUGUUAAUAUAUAACUUUGCCAGGCACCACGGCUCACGCCUGUAUCCCAGCACUUUGGAAGGCUGAGGCUGGUGGAUCACAAGGUCAGGAGUUCGAGACCAGCCUGGCCAACAUGGUGGAACGCUGUCUCUACUAAAAAUACAAAAAAUUAGCCGGGCGUGGUGGUGUGUGCCUAUAAUCCCAGCUACUCAGGAGGCUGAGACAGGAGAAUCGCUUGAACCCGGGAGGUGGCAGUUGCAGGGAGCCAAGAUCACACCAUUGCACUGCAGCCUGGGCGACAGAGCAAGACUCCAUUUCG